UAUCAGCAGCUCUGAUAUAAAGAGCUCAGUGAAUACCUACCUAAGGCAGGCAUAUCCCAUAAGUAUGUUGGUGGUCGUAUUCUCUUUCAGGGAACUAGGGUUACGGCUUCAGUAUCUGAACAUACAGAGGACGAUUUGGGGCAAAAUCCUUAACAGCCCAAGCUCUUAAAAUUGUUUGGUGAUCCUGAAACAAACAGGACCUCCUUGAAAUGAGAAGUACAGCUCAAGGGGUCUAUCCUGGAAAAACAUUUCCUAAAAACUUUGCCUCAGCAUUGGCCAGGACAGAGAACAAUUGGAGACAAAGGAGAGUGAUAUGUUACAGUUGCACCUUCAUGGAUGUUUCAAAGUUAAGAAACCAUAAAAACAGGAUCAGUGAAAAUGACACUGAGAGGAAAGGGUAUACAAUUAUGUUCAUAUAGAUUUUUUAGUGGAUAAAACCAUUAAAAUAAACAUUCAACUGGGUAAAAGGGAGAUGUCUUAUGGAAAGCAGUCCAUCUCGAUUCAACCACUGGAAAAUAAAUAAGCAAUGAUUAAUAAUCCCCGGUAAAUUAUUUAAUUAGCCAGGGGAUUGUUGAGAAAACACAUCUUAUUAACUUAUUAUGUAUUAACGUAACAAUUAGGAAUUCAUAAAAAAUAAA